GGGGGAGAAGUUUGUAUUAUCUUGCACCUAAGUGCUUGUACAGGGGCGAAUACAAGCGUUGUAUGGAGUGUAUGUGUGCUACUGCGUAUGGGUGUAGUGGUAUCCCUUGUGUUCUAUUCCUGAGUCCCUCCUUUUAUAGUUCCAAGGAGAGACCCAGGGUACAUGUAUAGGUGUCAGAAUAGGAGUUGAUAGCAGUAUG
rnacentral:lncRNA from 1 species